UAGUAUCACACAUAUUUAUUGAAAGUUGGUUGUUUUGCGUUUUUAAUAUUUUUGCACUCCGAGAUAUCAGAAUUCCAAUAAAUGCGUACAUACAUACAUACAAUAAAUGAUACAUAUUGCGCAAAUAUUUUGUUAAUUAUGUUGUAAUUAUUAUAAUUAACUGUAAUUAGGUGCUUUGAUUUAUAUAUGUACACUGAGAGAAUAAGUCGAGAUAUUUAAAGGCAAAUUUAAAAAAAAUUAUCUAAUUUUUGCUAGAAAAAUAAAUUCCAUUCAAGCAAAUUAAUUUUCUUUGUAACAAUCAAUUAUUUGAUUAGAAUUAUUUAACAUUUAUAUAUAAAUAACAUUUAUUUUUAAAAAUUAAAUUAAUUUUUUUUAAAUAAAUCUACUAUUUUUUGGAAUUUCAAUAUUUAUUUUUGUUUGAUUUGUAUUGCAUCUUAUACAAUAACGACAAACUAUUCGUAGUCUAUGGUAUCGUCGUAUCGUUGGCGGUACAUUGUCUUAAUUAUAUACAAUCAAGCGACGCGGUAGCGGUAACGCUAAGUACAUAAAUACAUAAAGAAUUGUGUCGCAUCACGUAACUUCACUGCGCAAAUGUCAUACAUAAAGAAUCGUGCCGCGUGACGUAAAGUUCACUGCGCAAAUGUCACGCCGCUACUAAGCUUUAUUUCUGGAAUUUAGCUGUCAAAUUCACUUUCAGUUAAAAUAUCUCAGAAACUAAAAUUAUAAUAAAAAAAUCUAAUGGCAAUUUUAUUAUAUAAUAUUGAUGUGAGCUUUUGAUUGAGACCAGUUCGAUUAAAAUUGAUACACUCAAUUUUGAGAUCUCGAGAUCUUUUGCACGAAAAAGCUCACUUGAGUUAUUUUUCACAGAUUCACAUGUACACACACACACACAUAAAGUCAGUUUGUUUUUCAAGGGCCUUCACAAUGUGUCUACAUACAAUUUUAUAAACUAAAAUAAAAUUAUUUUGUAAUAUUUACAUGUACAUACAUGUAUACACACAUGCAAAGCCAGUUUGUCCUUCAAGAAGCUUCACAAUGUGCCUACAUACAAUUUUAUAAAACUAAAAUAUAUAAGAAAUUAUUUUGUAAUGUAAGUGGUGAAUAUGGCACUGAUCAUAUUCUACAUAAAAUAAUUGUACACGAUCAGAAUAUUCUACACAAAUAUAUUGUACACAAAAAAAUUGUAUGUGGAAAAAUUGUGCACAAGAAUUAUCCUUGAAUUAAAAAUUGCACACAGAACACAAAAACUGUGUAGUGAACAGUUUUUCUACGCACAAUAUAUUCGUGUGCAAUUUUACGCAAAAAAUUUAAUUAGUUAUUUAUUUUUUAAUAAAAUAAAAAAGUAAAUAAAUAAUAAUAACAUAGACAAAUAAUAUACAUAAUAUAUAUGUAAUAAAUGUCAAAAAUAAUAUAUUAUUAAUAAAAAAUUAAUAAAAUUACAAGCAUUUGAAUGUUCAAACUAUACGAUAAAAA